CUCGGUCUCGGCGCUCAUGUUGCAAGUUGUCGAGGUUGCGGGUGAGCGAAGUGUUGUGGGAAAGUUUCCUCGCCUAGGCCCGCCUCCGCCGCACUCCCACAACAUGUUCUUUCUAUCUCAUCUCUCACGCUUCUGAAACGCCCCAGUGAGGUGAAUAAAAGUCAGAAGUUCUUCGUUAGUGUGAAAAUGCUGAUCAGUCUUUGUGUCGUCGCCAAAACCCUUCAGCCAGUGUGAAAAUAAACUUCUGCACUGCUUGAUCCAUUUGUGCAUAUUCAUCGUGUCUGGUCAUCAGCGGAGUAAAUCCCGACUGCGAAGAGUGAGUCGUGAUCUGGUAACGCGUGUCCGAGCCAGGGCGGUGUGGCAGGACGUGAACACAAACACUAGGAGACACCCGCCCUGGGGUAUACUCCUCCGUUGCUGCCACACCCUUACCUCCCUGGCUGGCGGCUGUGUGUGUGUGUGUGUGUGUGUGUGUGUCGCGACUUGAAGGGAUGUGGGGGACUUGUGAUAAAUUCAGUUCGCUCAGUGGCAUUAACCGAAAGAUUUGACUCGGGUUCACUUUACGACUUACAAUUUUCGUAUUUGUGUGCAAGCGCGGUAUCGUCUCCCCGGGUGUUCAUCCCCAGCGCGGUGAACGCUCGGCGUCUUGCCCAGGACGUAUUUAGGCAUUAGAGUAAAAAUAGAAACCAUUUAGACGAGUAAGGCAGAGGGGUGAGGUUAGGCGUAAAUACGUUAAGACUGGGAAUCGUUUUAGUUGUAUAAAAAUAGGCAGUUUUAACUUUUGACAUGAACUAUGACUUAACGCUUCGAUUCGCUUCCCGACCUGAACAAAGAGACGAGGGAUCAUCUUUUCCACAAAGCCAGUACAAGAUAAGGAGAAUCAAGAGCAUAGCCACUCUGCACGCAAGCAAUCAAUGAAGCUGAAUGCGUAGGAGUGACGUGACUUCCUUACAAAGCAAUGAUUGAUUGGUCAAAGUCACAGCCGAGGCCGCCGGUCGGAACGAAGUGGCGUCUGGUGCCCCGCAAGGCAACGCACCACAGACAGCACGCAGGACUGUCCAAGGCGCACAGGCAAGGCGACGGGAGGAGCUGAAGUGUACCAAUCAGCAGCUUCCUACAGAACCCGACAGUCAGUAGCAGCCCCACAGGAAGUAUUCACCUCUGAAGAACACUCGGGCACCAUCGGGAGGUUGCUGUUCUUCCUGCUGCAGCUCUGCUCUGUUCCUGCUGCGCCCCUCUGUCAGGAUUUUGUGUGCCUCUCGGUGCAGUUGGAAGUGGGUCAGCUGCUGCUUAAGGAGAGGUACAAGUAAGUUGUAAUUGUCAAUUUUCUUGUUUAUGGCAGUUAUCUUGGACUGCAGCAGCUCCUGCGACACUGACCACUUCUUCUGUUGGGGAAGAUAACAUGGCAUGGGUGAUAAAAAGUAGUAACUAUGUGCCUUACUUUUUACACAGUGCACACAUCUUCAUACUAGU